GUGGAUUAGAUACCCGGGUAGUCCACGCCCUAAACGAUGUCAACUGGUUGUCGGGCCUUCAUUGGCUUGGUAACGUAGCUAACGCGUGAAGUUGACCGCCUGGGGAGUACGGUCGCAAGAUUAAAACUCAAAGGAAUUGACGGGGACCCGCACAAGCGGUGGAUGAUGUGGAUUAAUUCGAUGCAACGCGAAAAACCUUACCUACCCUUGACAUGUACGGAAGUCCGCUGAGAGGUGGAUGUGCCCGAAAGGGAGCCGUAACACAGGUGCUGCAUGGCCGUCGUCAGCU
rnacentral:rRNA from 1 species